GAUUAUUAAAAACAAUCUUUUCCUUCUACUAUACAAUCACAUGACUAUCAAAAGUAAUGUCAGUGAGACCCUUUUCUAAACUGUAAUGUGCUGUUCAAAUGUGAAAUUAUCACCUAUUAGAACUUUAUCUUAAUGGAACAAGGUUUCUUGCCAAGUGAUAGGUUCUCUUUCACUUGAGUCACAAUGGUCAUUCACACUGGGCCUUCCACUUUAGCUGGAGGUUAGGAUGAGUGCUCUCAAGGGUCUCCUCAAACUGGGAGAUCAUCUGGUUUUAUUCACGUGAAACUUUUCAUUUUGCAGGGUUUCUAACAUCUAAGAAGCAGAUCCUUAAGAAGAAAAAAAAUCACUUUUCAACACAAUUUUAUCUCAGAAAAACUCAUAUUCACCUUCCAUUUAUUGGAAUAUUAUCUUCUUAUAAAACAAAAAUAUUUGGACAUCUGAUCCUGAUUAGAUCAACAUCAAAAACCAAUCUAGGAAGAAAAUUGUUAAAGUUUAUUUCUCCCUGCUUUGUAAGAGAUGUCAUUUCUAAUAAAACUAUGGAAUAG
rnacentral:lncRNA from 1 species